rnacentral:lncRNA from 1 species
AUAUACAGUAGGUAGCACAGAGCGUCAUGAGUCAUAUUUCACAGAGUGGGACCUGUCACGAUGACCUGCUGUGGGUUUCUACUGCUUCUUGGUGAGUUAAUUUCUGUUUCAUAUAACUGACUGAACAUAAAAAUGAAUUGUUACAUCACUAGAAGCCAGAAAACAAUUGUAUGGUAAUUACAAACAUUUAUUCACCAAUUUUCCUGGUGUUUGUAGGUUCACUCUUCUUCUGUGGACUCUGUGAUUUUCCUCCCGGUACGGUUACAUACAUACAGAUCCUGGCUGUAAUUGAAGUCUCUUGCGUAUUCAUGCAGUAAUCGCUGAUAUCGUUGCACGCAGGCUCCUGUGAUGGAUACACAAACAUAGAUGAACCAUGGCGCAACUUUUUAUUUCGAUCGUCCUCCUUCCCCGGGUACCCGAAGAACGACGGCGGCCUCGUCGGGAACUGGUUGCGCUUCUCAGGGAUCGGAGGGGACACGGUUGUCCCAACCUGCUACACGGGCCCCGUCGGCGGCGCCCAGUACGCCAUCCACGUCCCGCUUACGUAUCCAACCGUCGAGAAUCAAACCGUGACUGGAACGGCGUAUGGGGAUGUUGGAGCCUGUAAUUAUUAUAGUAUCAAAAUGAACGUGAUUCUCUGUCCAGGAUCAUUCUACAUAUACAACGCAUCAAAUCACCCAUAUACCAAUAUGGGUUACGUGACGUGUGAGGAGACAACACUCAUCAUUUGCUUUACACAGUUCAGAGCACCAUAAUGACCAUCUGUGUGUUGUCUUUGUGUAGAUCACCUUCAUUGUGGCCCUAACUCCUGUGGACCUCUUGCUCAGUGUGACACCAGUGGAGGCUGUGCUUGCGUUGCUGGAUAUCAAAUGCCCCAAAAGGCACUUCCCACGCCACAGUCAUAUGGUUGCACUGACAUAGAUGAGUGUGUGACGACUCCUGGUAUCUGCGGUACUUACGAAAACUGCGUCAACACCAUUGGAUCAUACACCUGCAGUUGUCAGACUGGAUUUAUUGCAACUAACCCAAAAUUACCAUCUGGACCGAGCAACGCCUGUAUAGAUGUUGACGAGUGUCUCGCAAGCAUUUGUGGUCCGGGGACUUGUACCAACACCAUAGGAAGCUUUCUGUGUAACUGCGACGUCGGCUACUACUUUUCACACAGCGCAGUGCCGGCCUGUCAAGGUUUGUUAGCAGCCUGACCUUUUGUUUCACGUUUUCUAAAUGAACUGCUGAGCGGAACGCGAAUAGAAGCUU